CGUAGGGUGCGAGCGUUGUCCGGAAUUACUGGGCGUAAAGAGCUCGUAGGUGGUUUGUCGCGUUGUUCGUGAAAUCUCACGGCUUAACUGUGAGCGUGCGGGCGAUACGGGCAGACUUGAGUACUGCAGGGGAGACUGGAAUUCCUGGUGUAGCGGUGGAAUGCGCAGAUAUCAGGAGGAACACCGGUGGCGAAGGCGGGUCUCUGGGCAGUAACUGACGCUGAGGAGCGAAAGCGUGGGGAGCGAACAGGAUUAGAUACCCUGGUAGUCCACGCCGUAAACGGUGGGUACUAGGUGUGGGUUUCCUUCCUUGGGAUCCGUGCCGUAGCUAACGCAUUAAGUACCCCGCCUGGGGAGUACGGCCGCAAGGCUAAAACUCAAAGAAAUUGACGGGGGCCCGCACAAGCGGCGGAGCAUGUGGAUUAAUUCGAUGCAACGCGAAGAACCUUACCUGGGUUUGACAUGCACAGGACGCCGGCAGAGAUGUCGGUUCCCUUGUGGCCUGUGUGCAGGUGGUGCAUGGCUGUCGUCAGCUCGUGUCGUGAGAUGUUGGGGUUAGUCCCGCAACGAGCGCAGCCCUUGUCUCAUGUUGCCAGC
rnacentral:rRNA from 1 species